rnacentral:lncRNA from 1 species
UCCUCUGCAGUAGACAUGCUCUUUUUCUGCCUGCUCUGCCUCUUUUCCUUUGGAACUCUCCCACACUUCAUAUGAUUUGUGGGUCCUCCUUCUACAGAUCUCCCUAAAUUCCUUCUGUGGCAAUGUAACUACAAUUCCUUUGUUCUUUUCUUCAGCCAGUGUGCAAAAUAGGUGGUUACCAUCUUUCCCAGCUCUGGAGGCCAGAAGUCUGAAAUCAGUAUCACUGGACUGAAAUCAAGGUUUCAGCAGAGACCUUCAGCAGGGUUGCACUUUCCCCAGAGGCUCUCAGACAGAGUCUGUCCUCUGCCUCAUCUGGCUUCUGGUGGCUGCUGGCAUUCCUUGGGUUGUGGCCACAUGGCUCCAGUCUUUCAAGCCAACAUUGUAGAAAUUUUUCCUGUUCCAUAUUCACUUCACCGUGUGUGUCUGUAAAAUUUCCCUCUGCUCUCUCUUAUAAAGAUAUUUCUGAUGGUAUGC